GACCCAAUGUGGUGCAGUGGUUUGAGCUCUGGACUACAACUCUGGAGACCAGGGUUCGAAUCCCUGCUUGGCCA